rnacentral:tRNA from 1 species
GCAGUGAUGGCCGAGUGGUUAAGGUGUCUCACUAGAAAUCAGAUGGGAACUUCCCGCGUAGGUUCGAAUCCUACUCACUGCG